rnacentral:ncRNA from 1 species
AUCUUCAGGGUUGGGUGAAAUUCCCUAUCGGCGGUAAAGUCCGCGAGCCUUUUGGCAUGAUCCGGUGAAAUUCCGGGACCGACGGUUAUAGUCCGGAUGGAAGAAGAU